rnacentral:rRNA from 1 species
GACGAACGCUGGCGGCGUGCUUAACACAUGCAAGUCGAACGGAAAGGCCCUGCUUUUGUGGGGUGCUCGAGUGGCGAACGGGUGAGUAACACGUGAGUAACCUGCCCUUGACUUUGGGAUAACUUCAGGAAACUGGGGCUAAUACCGGAUAGGAGCUCCUGCUGCAUGGUGGGGGUUGGAAAGUUUCGGCGGUUGGGGAUGGACUCGCGGCUUAUCAGCUUGUUGGUGGGGUAGUGGCUUACCAAGGCUUUGACGGGUAGCCGGCCUGAGAGGGUGACCGGCCACAUUGGGACUGAGAUACGGCCCAGACUCCUACGGGAGGCAGCAGUGGGGAAUAUUGCACAAUGGGCGGAAGCCUGAUGCAGCAACGCCGCGUGCGGGAUGACGGCCUUCGGGCGGUAAACCGCUUUCGCCUGUGACGAAGCGUGAGUGACGGUAAUGGGUAAAGAAGCACCGGCUAACUACGU